rnacentral:lncRNA from 1 species
UUUCUGAUUUCAAUCGUGCAUCAAAUGCUUCAAAAGAUUUGACUACUUCGAUUUUGAUUCUAAUUUAUUCCGAUUUUUAUUUCGGUUGUGAAUCAAAUAUCUCCUCAAUAUAUUCUAUUUUAGCCAUUCUUCACUAUGCUCUUAUAUUAGGAGAGCUUUGCAUCACUUCAGCAUUUAUUCUAUGGCAAUUGCUCCUCAUCCUUUGUGGACUUGGUUUGCCAUGAAGAGAUAUGGA